rnacentral:rRNA from 1 species
UACGUAGGGUGCGAGCGUUGUCCGGAAUUAUUGGGCGUAAAGAGCUCGUAGGCGGUUUGUCGCGUCGGCCGUGAAAACUUGGGGCUUAACUCCAAGCUUGCGGUCGAUACGGGCAGACGUUGAGUUCGGCAGGGGAGACGUGGAAUUCCGUGGUGGUAGCGGUGAAAAUGCGCAGAUAUCAGGAGGAACACCGGUGGCGAAGGCGGGUCUCUGGGCCGACACUGACGCUGAGGAGCGAAAGCGUGGGGAGCGAACAGG